ensembl:lncRNA
GAACUAGUACAGUUUACAGAGGGCAUGGUCGCUCAUCUGUACCAAGCUCAAAAAAGAAAACCUACACAAUAACAGAAGACGAGAUCAAGCGCAGAAUCAACGCAGAGAACAUGUCAGUUCAUGUUUUCAGAGGUUUGAUUGGGGGCCGUAAAGCCAAACUGCCCGCAAUGAUUCUUGACAGGCCUAAGAAGGCCAAAACUAAAGUAACAGUGUUUAGUGUUCUGAGUGAAGAGGAGGCUGGGGAGCUAGCCCUCGGGUUUGCCGGAAGAUUGGCCUGCGAUGUCACAAGAGACAUGGUCUGUAAAGGCAUCGACCAUUCAAGUGCUGAUAUGACAAA